rnacentral:rRNA from 1 species
AAAAUGACUCUCGACAACGGAUAUCUCGGCUCUUGCAUCGAUGAAGAACGUAGCGAAAUGCGAUACUUGGUGUGAAUUGCAGAAUCCCGUGAACCAUCGAGUCUUUGAACGCAAGUCGCGCCUGAAGCCAUUAGGCCGAGGGCACG